AACGAACGCUGGCGGCGCGCCUAAUACAUGCAAGUCGAGCGAGAAGACGUAGCAAUACGUUUGUAAAGCGGCGAACGGGUGAGGAAUACAUGGGUAACCUACCCUCGAGUGGGGAAUAACUAGCCGAAAGGUUAGCUAAUACCGCGUACGCUCCUUGGACUUCGGUUCAGGGAGGAAAGCGAUACCGUGGGUAUCGCGCUCUUGGAUGGGCUCAUGUCCUAUCAGCUUGUUGGUGAGGUAACGGCUCACCAAGGCUUCGACGGGUAGCUGGUCUGAGAGGACAAUCAGCCACACUGGCACUGCGACACGGGCCAGACUCCUACGGGAGGCAGCAGUAAGGAAUAUUGCGCAAUGGGCGAAAGCCUGACGCAGCGACGCCGCGUGGGGGAUGAAGGUCUUCGGAUUGUAAACCCC
rnacentral:rRNA from 1 species